rnacentral:rRNA from 1 species
GUGUCAGCAGCCGCGGUAAUACGUAGGGUGCAAGCGUUAAUCGGAAUUACUGGGCGUAAAGCGUACGCAGGCGGCUUUGCAAGACAGGUGUGAAAUCCCCGGGCCUAACCUGGGAACUGCAUUUGUGACUGCAUAGCUAGAGUCUGUCAGAGGGGGGUGGAAUUCCACGUGUAGCAGUGAAAUGCGUAGAGAUGUGGAAGAACACCGAUGGCGAAGGCAGCCCCCUGGGAUGAGACUGACGCUCAUGUACGAAAGCGUGGGGAGCAAACAGGAUUAGAUACCCUGGUAGUCCACGCCCUAAACGAUGUCUACUAGUUGUCGGAGGGUAACUCCUUCGGUAACGCAGCUAACGCGUGAAGUAGACCGCCUGGGGAGUACGGUCGCAAGAUUAAA